rnacentral:rRNA from 1 species
UACGGAGGAUGCAAGCGUUAUCCGGAUUCACUGGGCUUAAAGGGUGCGUAGGUGGGCUGUUAAGUCAGUGGUGAAAUCUCCGGGCUCAACCCGGAAACUGCCAUUGAUACUAUCUGUCUUGAAUAUCGUGGAGGUAAGCGGAAUAUGUCAUGUAGCGGUGAAAUGCUUAGAUAUGACACAGAACACCAAUUGCGAAGGCAGCUUACUGCCCGAAUAUUGACACUGAGGCACGAAAGCGUGGGGAUCAAACAGG